rnacentral:rRNA from 1 species
UGGGGAAUAUUGGGGCAAUGGGGCGAAAGCCUGACCCAGCGACGCCGCGUGAGGGAAGAAGGUCUUCGGAUUGUAAACCUUAGUUAGCAGGGAAGAAGAAAGUGACGGUACCUGCAGAGAAAGCCACGGCUAACUACGUGCCAGCAGCCGCGGUAAUACGUAGGGAGCGAGCGUUGUCCGGAAUUACUGGGCGUAAAGGGUGCGUAGGCGGUAGGCUAAGUUGGAUGUGAAAUACCUGGGCUUAAACUUGGGGGCUGCAUUCAAAACUGGUUUACUAGAGUUCAGGAGAGGGAAGCGGAAUUCCUAGUGUAGCGGUAAAAUGCGUAGAUAUUAGGAGGAACACCGGUGGCGAAGGCGGCUUUCUGGACUGACACUGACGCUGAGGCACGAAAGCGUGGGGAGCAAACAGGAUUAGAUACCCUGGUAGU